GGUCAUUCAAUCGCAAAGCGCGUAUCUAACCUCAAUUGUUUUGCUAUUAUAUUAUUUUGUUUGGCUAAUAAUGCCUACCAGUUGUGCUGCGCACGGUUGUGCGAAUAAUUUCAUACGGGAGAUUGGGAAUUGCAUUUUUUUUAGGAUUCCAAAAGUGAUCACAGCUCAAGGUGAGCGGGCGCGUGAGUUGACCGAGGAGCAACUUGGAUUUCGAUCUACCGGGGCGACAUGGCACAAAUAAAUCUCGCCAACACUCAUAUUUGUGGUAAUCACUUCAUAACUGAGUUAUUCAGUCUGCUCUUGGAAGAAGAGAGAGAGGAAGAAACAGAAAUGUAAGUUAAAGUAAG
ensembl:lncRNA